GGACGAACGCUGGCGGCGUGCUUAACACAUGCAAGUCGAGCGGUAAGGCCCUUUCGGGGGUACACGAGCGGCGAACGGGUGAGUAACACGUGGGUGACCUGCCCUCAGCUCUGGGAUAAGCCCGGGAAACUGGGUCUAAUACCGGGAUAUGACUCCAUGACGCAUGUUGUGGGGUGGAAAGCCCUGUGCGGCUGAGGAUGGGCCCGCGGCCUAUCAGCUUGUUGGUGGGGUGAUGGCCUACCAAGGCGACGACGGGUAGCCGGCCUGAGAGGGCGACCGGCCACACUGGGACUGAGAUACGGCCCAGACUCCUACGGGAGGCAGCAGUGGGGAAUCUUGCGCAAUGGGCGAAAGCCUGACGCAGCGACGCCGCGUGAGGGAUGACGGCCUGGUU
rnacentral:rRNA from 1 species